rnacentral:rRNA from 1 species
ACGAACGCUGGCGGCGUGCUUAACACAUGCAAGUCGAACGGUGAAGGAGAAGCUUGCUUUUCUGGAUCAGUGGCGAACGGGUGAGUAACACGUGAGUAACCUGCCCUUGACUCUGGGAUAAGCGUUGGAAACGACGUCUAAUACCGGAUAUGUACUGCGACCGCAUGGUCUGUAGUUGGAAAGAUUUUUUGGUCAAGGAUGGACUCGCGGCCUAUCAGCUUGUUGGUGAGGUAAUGGCUCACCAAAGCGACGACGGGUAGCCG